UACGGAGGAUGCAAGCGUUAUCCGGAAUGAUUGGGCGUAAAGCGUCCGUAGGUGGCUGUGUAAGUCUGCUGUCAAAGAGCGAAGCUCAACUUCGUAAAGGCAGUGGAAACUACACGGCUAGAGUGCGUUCGGGGCAGAGGGAAUUCCUGGUGUAGCGGUGAAAUGCGUAGAGAUCAGGAAGAACACCGGUGGCGAAGGCGCUCUGCUAGGCCGCAACUGACACUGAGGGACGAAAGCUAGGGGAGCGAAUGGG
rnacentral:rRNA from 1 species